GUGGGGAAUUUUGGACAAUGGGCGCAAGCCUGAUCCAGCAAUGUCGCGUGCAGGAAGAAGGCCUUCGGGUUGUAAACUGCUUUUGUACGGAACGAAACGGUCCUGGUUAAUACCUGGGGCUAAUGACGGUACCGUAAGAAUAAGCACCGGCUAACUACGUGCCAGCAGCCGCGGUAAUACGUAGGGUGCGAGCGUUAAUCGGAAUUACUGGGCGUAAAGCGUGCGCAGGCGGUGCUGUAAGACAGGCGUGAAAUCCCCGGGCUCAACCUGGGAAUUGCGCUUGUGACUGCAGUGCUGAAGUACGGCAGAGGGGGAUGGAAUUCCGCGUGUAGCAGUGAAAUGCGUAGAUAUGCGGAGGAACACCGAUGGCGAAGGCAGUCCCCUGGGCCUGUACUGACGCUCAUGCACGAAAGCGUGGGGAGCAAACAGGAUUAGAUACCCGAGUAGUCC
rnacentral:rRNA from 1 species